rnacentral:rRNA from 1 species
UACGGAGGGUGCAAGCGUUGUUCGGAUUUACUGGGCGUAAAGAGCGUGUAGGCGGUUAGGCAAGUCAGAUGUGAAAUCCCUUGGCUCAACUAAGGAAGUGCAUUUGAAACUGCUUAACUAGAGUACAGGAGGGGAAAGUGGAAUUCCCAGUGUAGAGGUGAAAUUCAUAGAUAUUGGGAGGAACACCGGUAGCGAAGGCGGCUUUCUGGCCUGAUACUGACGCUGAGACGCGAAAGCGUGGGGAGCAAACAGG